ACGCACGGAUAUGUCCACCACGGCCACCUCCCACGACUGCCACCGCGCACCGUAUCACCAACAGCUGCAGAGCCACAUCGAAGCCCUUCUUCUUCUCUUUCUCCGCGACUUCUGCGCAGAGGGAGCGAGUCCAACCCGCAACGGCUACCGCGCCUCUCACCUUCAAGCCAUCGCCCAGACCUUCUAUGUGCUGCAGAUAGUUCGAUGCAGCACAGCCCCGCGGCGCGAGCAAGAGACACCUUACUCGCUCCUCCAGACAGGCGACGGCACAUCACGUCUCGACGUCUGCACGGAGCGUGACUUGUACUACCGCAACCCGCCACUCUUUGCGCCGCGAGGGCAGCGCGCGACCCACGAAAGUAUCAAGCGGCUAUGUGGCUGGCUCGAAGUUGUGGCGCGUGUGCCUCCUCAUCAGCAACGUGGAGAAGGACCUGUGCUGACCUCGCUCUUUCGAAGUCCUCGCUGCCUUCUGUCACGGCCGUGGAAGGGAGCCCAGGGCGCGGCGUCAAGGACGCCGCUCUACACGCGCGAGUCACUAGGCAUUACAGCCGCUGGCAAGAGUCUCUUGGCCGGCGCAAUCACGCUGGAGCUCUGUGAUCCAGUGGAACUGAUUGACGUGUCCGCGCGCGGCUCUGCGGGCAUCACGCUGACGUACUCCCUCGCGACCCGUAUGGUGGGGUGUCGAGAGGCUGGUGUCUGGCAAGCAGCACGUGACGGCAUAUCAUCGAGCCGGCCGUAUAAGCUCGUCCUGAUUGAGAAGGAGAGUGUUCAUCAUGCUGUACUGCAGUCCAUGACGAAGAGCGGCACUCCGCACACGUACUCGUGCAUCCUUCUGUGCACAAAAGGAUAUCCGUGCGUCGCCGCUCGGGAGUGGCUGCGUCGUGUUCAUGCCCUGCGGCCUGCCCUGCAGCUCUACAUCAUGGUUGACGGGGACCCGGAUGGCCUGGGUAUCGCCCUGACAGUCAUGGGGCUGCUUGGCUCGAAAGGAUACCCGUCGCCUAUUGCGUCCUCGCAGCCCAAGCCUACCUUGUCUUCCUUUUCUCCCCUCUCUGGUGCCACGCCUGCAUCUGCAGAGACAGCGAAGGUAAAGGAGCUGCUUCCGCUCCGCUUCCUCGGUGUGUGCCCUUCCCUCGUGUGGAGUUGCAAUUUUCAAAGCGAGGCGCCUCUCAGCGCCGGCUUCCUCGGUGGCCUCGCCUCCUCACAAGGCAUUCCCCUUACAAUGCAUGAUGUGCAGGUACUAAAGCGGGUCGUUUCAAUCGUGCAGGGCGCGUUGGCAUCAGCACCAGAGGCGUCAGACAGCGCUACGUCGCUCAGAGGGUGCGACACGGCCAUCGUACGCCACACCCUUCAGCGCGUACUGAAGGAGGCGGAAUGGAUGCAGCGAGCCCGGAUCAAGUGCGAGCUUCAAUUCGCCUGCGGACCCAUCGGCCCACUGACAUUCAUGGAGCAGCACGUGCAGCGGUGCGAUGCGGAGUUGAGUGAAGGAUUCUGAGUCCCCUUUUUUGUGUGUCCGCGUUUGUUUGCGUGCAAUCGCGUUCUGCUACGGUCUACUGCUGCAUUUUUGUUUUGUAUUCAGCUUCUGCCAUCCCACGAACCGGA
rnacentral:misc_RNA from 1 species